GACGGUCGCAGGCGGCGUGCUUAACACACGCAACUCGAACGGUGAAGCGCAUUCCUUUUUGGUGGGUGGGGCUGAGGGGCUAAAGGGUGAAUAACACGUGAGUAGCCUGCUUCCUUCUUCUACAUAACCGCAGGAAAGUGUGGCUAAUACGGGAAAUACCGGGUCUGUCGCAUGAUGGGUUUGGGAAAGCCAUUGUUUGCGUGGGAGUAGGGAACGCUGCCUAUCAGCUUGUUGUUGGGGCGAGGGGAUAACAAGGCGGUGACGAGUAGCCGGCAUGAGAGAGUGGACGGUCACACUGGGGCUGAGACACGGCCCGGACUCCGACGGGGGGCAGCAGGGGGGAAGAUUGCACAAUGGGUGAGAGCCUGAUGCCGCGACGCCGCGUGGGGGAUGGAGGCCUUCGGGUUGUGAACCUCUUUCGCCGGUGAAGCAGGCCUGCCGCGUUUGUGGGUGGUUUGACGGUACCUGGAUAAGAAGCACCGGCUAACUACGUG
rnacentral:rRNA from 1 species